UACACAGAGAAACCCUGUCUCAAAAAAGCAAACAAAUCUGAAAAUGGGCAAGUUAAUAGACUGUAAAAUAAAGUUGAGCUGUAUGUGAUGACGAAUACCUUUGAUGCCAGCAUUCGAGGCAGGGGCAAGGCAGAGGGAUUUUAAUGAGUUGAAAGCCAUUCUGGUCUACCUUUCCAAGUAGUUUAGUUCCAAGACAGCCAGAUAUAAAGAAAUCCUACCUACAAAAAAGUCAGGCAGUGGUGACACAUGCCUUUAGUACCAGCAUUUGGGAGGCAGAAGCAAGUGGAUAUCUAUGAAUUCAAGGUCAGCCUAGUCUACAGAGAGUUCCAGGACAGCCAAGGCUAACACAGAGAAAACCUGUCUCAAAAACAUUUUUUUGAAAGGUCCCAGAAAACAGAAACUGUAAUAAUAGUCUCCAAGAUUUAGAACAAGAUGGGCCUACCAGAGCCUCUGAAAAUAGAGCCCACCCCCACUCCUGCACCCCUCAGGAGGUCACCCUGGCAGCCAGAAGUCCAAAUCAGUGCCUAUUCCACUUGUCAUCAGAGAAGUCUCCCUGAGCAUCUGAUGGGAGCAGAUGCAGAGACAAACAUUAGGCAAAAAAGAGCCCAAAUUGGAGAUCUCCAUCCAGUCCCUCCCCUUGGAACUUGGAAAACCCCCAAGGAAGAAUUGUAGGAGCCAGAGGAGGUGGAGAACACGGACCAUAGACUCAGUUAAGCAGGCUUCUAAGGGCUCACAGAGACUGAAGUAGCCAUCACAGAACCUGCAUGGGUCUUCGCUAGGUCCUUUGCAUAUAUGUUAUGGUUGUUAGCUUGGUGUUUUUGUGAUACUAACAGUGGGAAUGGGGGUGUCUCUGACUCUUUGCCUGCUCUUGGGACCUUUUUUUUCUCUUAUUGGGUUGCCUCUCCUAGCCCUGAUACGAGGGUUUAUGCCUAGUCUUAUUGUAUCUUGUUAUGCAGUGUUCCUCAGAUAUCCCCAAGAGGCCCACUCUUUUCUGAAGGGAAAUGGAGGAGCAGUGGA
rnacentral:lncRNA from 1 species